rnacentral:rRNA from 1 species
UACAGAGGGGGCAAGCGUUAUUCGGAAUUAUUGGGAGUAAAGGGCGCGUAGGCGGCUUGGCAAGUGGAUGGUGAAAUCCCUCGGCUUAACCGAGGAACUGCCGUCCAAACUGCUUCGCUUGAGACCGGGAGAGGUGAGUGGAAUUCCCAGUGUAGCGGUGAAAUGCGUAGAUAUUGGGAGGAACACCAGUGGCGAAGGCGGCUCACUGGACCGGUACUGACGCUGAUGCGCGAAAGCGUGGGGAGCAAACGGG